rnacentral:rRNA from 1 species
AGGACGAACGCUGGCGGCGUGCUUAACACAUGCAAGUCGAGCGAGGCCCUGUCUUCGGACAGGUGCCCUAGCGGCGAACGGGUGAGUAACACGUGGGCAACCUGCCCCUAGCACUGGGAUAACUCCGGGAAACCGGGGCUAAUACCGGAUAUGACCUCCGAGGGCAUCCUCGUUGGUGUAAAGGAUUCUGGCUAGGGAUGGGCCCGCGGCCUAUCAGCUUGUUGGUGGGGUAAUGGCCUACCAAGGCGACGACGGGUAGCCGGCCUGAGAGGGCGACCGGGCCACACUGGGACUGAGACACGGCCCAGACUCCUACGGGAGGCAGCAGUGGGGAAUAUUGCACAAUGGGCGAAAGCCUGAUGCAGCGACGCCGCGUGAGGGAUGACGGCCUUCGGUUGUAAACCUCUUCAGCUCCGACGAAGCGAAAGUGACGGUAGGAGCGAGAAGAAGCACCGGCAACUACGCGCCAGCAGCCGCGGUAA